CCUACGGGAGGCAGCAGUAGGGAAUAUUGCUCAAUGGGGGCAACCCUGAAGCAGCCACGCCGCGUGGAGGAUGAAGGUUUUCGGAUUGUAAACUCCUUUUGUUAGAGAAGAUAAUGACGGUAUCUAACGAAUAAGCACCGGCUAACUCCGUGCCAGCAGCCGCGGUAAUACGGAGGGUGCAAGCGUUACUCGGAAUCACUGGGCGUAAAGCGCGCGUAGGCGGGAUAGCAAGUCAGAUGUGAAAUCCUAUGGCUUAACCAUAGAACUGCAUUUGAAACUGUUAUUCUAGAGUAUGGGAGAGGUAGGUGGAAUUCUUGGUGUAGGGGUAAAAUCCGUAGAGAUCAAGAGGAAUACUCAUUGCGAAGGCGACCUGCUAGAACAUAACUGACGCUGAUGCGCGAAAGCGUGGGGAGCAAACAGGAUUAGAUACCCCAGUAGUC
rnacentral:rRNA from 1 species